AUUGGAACAAAGCGACAACAGAAUCCACCGGUGCAUAAAAGAGAGAGGAGGACGGUUUAUUAGAGGAGCCGUGACAUUAUUUUCAGAGAAGCAACCAAAACCUGCUUGUCCUGGUGUAACCUAUUGAGCCUCGACUGAUUCAGGGCAACUCAUUAUUCGGUUUUUAACAGAGGGCCUGAUAAAUAUGCAGCUGCCUUGAGCAUCUAAAUGCUGCACACCAAGCUCUUAUCAGAUAAUAUCCUCACAGCUUUGUGAAAUAUGACUAAUGCGGCCGACUGGUUCCUGAUAAUCUAUGCAGUGUUAGUUAGCCGAGCACUUGGCACCUAUCACAUUCUCCGAUCUCCCUCCUUGGUGUGUUUAUUUAGUUUACUGGACUUUAGCACAAGAUAAUUGCAAGGCACUAGUCAGCAAAGGUGGGAGUAAAAUGGAAAGAUUCAGCUGAGGUUGUCAGGCAGCUCUGAGUUUAAACAAAUUUUUUAUACGGGAAGUCAGCAUGCUAUCUUGUGGCAUAUCUUCCAUGAUGUAAAAAGGACAAAACCUCAUAGUGGGGUUCCUGGUUACGUUUUUAAGGUGGAACUGUGAUCUGAAAGUGACUCUGGAUUAAUUAUUUAACACUAGAGUGAAAUGCCAGCAAGUGAAAGAGCUGAGAGGGAGUUUUUUUCCUCGUAGCUGAAACCAAACUUGACAUUGAAUAGCAAACAGGUAAACCACAAGAGGGAGAAAAAAAUGUCUUCAUAUACGUCCUGCAGAGCACAUAUGUGUUUCCUGUGUGCAGAAUAGCUGCGUCUCAACAUUUGAAAACUUUAAUUACUCCAGAUUCUGGUGAAGAAUGCUAGUCUACAACAUUGUCCUUCCAUACAUCCAGCCAACCAACCGGUUCAAUCCCUGCUACAAGCUGCUAAGUGCUCCUUUGUGCAAGUCAGUAACCUCCUACGCUCUUACCACACAGAGCCAACACCAACACCGUCCACUUUUUCUUAAAAUAAAGAAACAGACUCCUAAGUUGUCAACAAUCAAUUAUAUGCCCCGACUUCCCAUUUGUUUCUUCCAACAACCGAACAGACCGCCUAAAACUGGCCAGAAGUUAAUAAAACCUGUCUGUUUGCUUUUAACUCUAUUUCAACCUCCUCCCCAGCUUGCUGCCAGUGGCCUGUUUAAUUUCCUGCUUGGUGCCAUUUGUGCACACUGGCCCCCUAUUGCUGAGCGAUGCCACGACGGUCGUCCCUCCCGCCCCUCCACUGCUUCCUUCCUCUUAACCCUCUUGCCAGUGGCCCUGCAAACCUCCGGAGGCAGGCGGUGCCAAGCGUUCCAGCUGUUUAAACAGGUCAGUGGUUGGUGCCAGGUGCCGCGAAGGGGAGCGCUGCCAUUGUUGUGCCCUAUAUUGCUGGUUUGUGCAAUCUGUGAUGAUUCCAUUGUCUCUGCAGAACAAGGAGCAGGGAUUAAAGGUACUGAGCUUUUUUUCAAAUUGAAGUUACUGAACAUUUUAGCAGUGAAGGGCUGUAUGACUUUUAAGCUAUGCAUUUCUUGAACCUGGUUAUUAAUCGAAAUGAAAGAUAUUUCACAGAAGAAUAGUCUCACUUGAAAAUAUUAGAAGUUAUUGAUCAGUUUAGUUUAAGUUCCUGCAAUUACAUAAUCAUUUAUGCCAAAACAUAUACUUUAUAAAACUUCUUUAUGCAAAAAAACAGCAUUCAAAACUCAAUAUUCAAGUUGAUGCCCAUUACAAGAAUCAUGUUACAGUCUUAUCACAGAAAAAUAGUAUUUAUGUCUUUACAGCAGCAGAAAAAAGAACAAGUAACCGAACCAAUAACAUGCAAUUUGUAGGAAAACACUUAAUGCUGAAGAAGAAAUAUUUUUCAUCCCAUAUUUGUCUUUUUAGAUUACCUUCCCAUAACGCAUAGAAGACGUUCUGCAGAAUACAUGUUACCCAGUAGAAUUAUGCAUCAGCCUCCCAGACCAAUUAGUAUAGAAUAGUGCAGCAUAAAUUUUACAGGAACAAAAAAACAAACCAUGUUUUCCUCAUAAUGAGAACAUCCUUCCUUGUUAUUGUGUCAUACUGUCUUGUUAGAAAAGGAAGAAUAUUUAACAGUUAAUAUUUCUGUUGUUUUAGUAUAAGUCCUCUUGUUAGUUCAAACUUUGUGGGGGUUUUUUCUACAAUGACAAAUAUGUGUUCUAGUUCAGCGGCUGCAUCUUUAGCUCUGAAACAUCCUAAUUGAGACAGAUUCAGUGUUUGUUGUAUUUAGAAAGAUUAUUCGAAUUGCUGCAUACUUGCCAGGUCGUCUCAGACUGUACAAAAAACUAGUACUAUUCAAAAUAUGUCUUACUGUACUUAUCUUUCUAUACUUUAAAUUAUCAAAUAAAAUAAAAAAUUUUAAUUAUUUAAAUUGUGUCCCAUAAAAAAGCUCCCUCUGGCACAGCUCCAGCAUAUUAAAUCUAAAUGCAUAAAUAUGAAAAAUCGCUUCGUGUCAAAAGGGCCAUCAUGUCAGGCCCAGACUGAACAAAUUUACAAAUCUAAAAUUGUGAAUCAAGCACAUUAACCUCCUGGCUCUAACGCUGAUUACAUUCCAGCCAGAGGCAACUUUAAACUUUAUUGUUUUGACCUUGUUACAUUAUGCCACUUAUCAUGAUGAAGAAUAGGUGUGACUAACAGGAGUUAAAACUAAUAUUUGUUUUACACACUAAUUUUGUACAUAGAACAUGUAUUUUAGUUCCAAUUAAAAUCUCAGUGGAGUUUAGCAAGCAACAGUUUUAAAACUGUGAUCAAAGGACAGAAAAAGUUUUUUUUUUUUUUUUCUGGCAUGCUUUCCAAACAAUCGCUGGGCAUGUAGAAAGGGUCUAAUGGUUGCUAUGGAGAUGCAACUCUUUCCUGCAGUUUUCUGACAGUGAGCUCAUGAGAUUGCUUGCCUCUUUUACCAUCCUCCUCGCUGUGCUUGGUGGAAAGAUAAACCUGGGUCAUCAUCCAGUCUUGCUCGUCACAGUUCUGGUUGUUUCAUUUUUAUUUUUUUCCCCUUUACUAUUAUGACUGUAGAUUAUGUCUACCCUGUAAAAGUAACGCAUUCUUUUAUCUUUCCUGUUUUGAAGAGAGGCCAGAGAAACAAACUCAUGUGCCUUGUCAUAACUGCAUUCAAAGCCUGAAUAGCUAAAUAAAGAUUAAGCAAUAAUUAGUAGCAACAAGUGGGUUGAUUUUGCAGCUGUUCCAAUAGGUAUAAGAUGCAUUAUUUAUUCAAACUGCACUGUAUUCAGUCAAUAGAUAUUAAAAACAGCUAAAAUAAGUUGAUUUUCCUAUUGAAAUAGAGGUUUUUCAGUUUAAAAGAGAACAUUAGAUAAUGUUCAUGGCCAUUAUGUCCACUUUGAGCCACUCGCUGUAUUUGUACAAAAGAAAGUUCAUCAUUCAUCCAGAUGAUAAAAGCUCAAACACAAGGAGACAGAUGAAUCAACACACAUUUAAAUCCCACCAAAGGGGGCACUUAGCGUUGAUGAUAAGUCUGCCCCUGAUGGCAAUGCCAGAGAUAGUUCAGUGAAAUUACAAUUCUAAUUUAGAUGUGCUCCAUUUCUGUCACACACAGUUGAGAUGUAUUAAAUCCAGCACAAGCGGUUGCGCAUGCCAGAUACGAACAAAAAGCAUGUUUUUUUUUUUGUUUGUUUUUUUUUUAACGCAGGUCUCCUGAUUGAUUACAACGCCGUGGACAUCGGAUUCAGCUGAAUGACCGACCAGCUCUCCUCCCACUCACGACUCUGAGCCACUCCUUCACAGAUGUUCCAAAGUGAACUUAAUUUAUAGACUUGUCCAGAUGAUCAAGCAGUGUGUGAGUGAGGCCUUGGCUGUGCUGACCUGUGUGAUGAGGCUCACUGCUGUGCACAGCGGACAGUGACACAGGCAGGAGCAAUCACCACAUUGAGGCUCGAGUGUGUAUGAGUGUUUGCAAUUUGCUCCAAAUCUGACUGGGCAUUUCUUUUUUUUUUUUAAACUCCCAGCUAACGUUAAUCAUGACAAGCUCAGUUCUUCAGCCUCAAAUUCGGCUUUCACCGCCAUCAAUAUGCAGCCUGCUGAUUCCAUCCGGCCCACACAUACGUGAUAAUGAUAAGUCAUGGUAGGCGGUAAUGGCAGUUUCAGUCUGGGUGCAGGAUUUUAAUUGGCUACUUUAGCUGUCAGAGAAAGCAGGAGCCUUGAUUGAGCCUUUGAUUUGGCCAGAGUGGCACACCGAGAGCCUUAAUUGGCCUGUGGACCAAACACCAGGAAAACACAUUAGUUGAAGUGCUCAAGCAUGAGCCCUCAGAAUUUAUUACAAGGGUUCAGAUAGCUGAAAUGUCAAACUCAAAAUGUCAUUAAACUUUAAAAUAAAUUAGGAAGUAAAAACGCUGAGACUCUUUGGCGUAAAGUCUUUUGUUUUAAAAACUAUUCACUUGAGAUCGAGCUGGUCAUAAACAAAACAACUUUUUUUUUUUUUUUGUUGCAGUUUUUCUAUAAAUUAUCUAAUCAAGAUAAAGUAUUUAUCAUUCCAAAAACAAGAUCUCAUCUCAUGGCAUCGAAGUAACUAUUUAAGAUGACAAAAGCAGAAAAUUGGUUGUAUUAAUUUGUGGGAGUGGCAAACAUGCAUGGAAACAUUCAAAAACAGGAUGACAGAUUAGUAGUAGCUUGGUGUUGCCGUCCCUGGUCGUCUCCAUCUGGCACAAGCAAAUCAGGCUGAACUAGUUCCAACACAAAUAGCUCAGAAUCUAUCUGAAAAUCUGUCUAGAAUCUCUCCACCGCCAUAGUGUUGACUAAUACCAGCGAAUCAUCUGGAUUCACUUGUAAGAAUUAGAAUUUUAUUUUUUGAAAAUAUGUACCUCAUUACCCUGCUGUCUUAUUUUGUUAAUACACAACAAAAAGAAAUAAAUCCCCACUGUUUCGUAUCUUUCAGACAGAUUAUUACGAAAAGCAGUGAAGAGGUUUCAACAAUUUCAAUGAAGGAAAAACAACAAGAUAAAGAACGACCAUCCUGGACACACAGAAGCAGAGCAAAACCAGAGCUUUCUCCUCUGCCACUGUUCUUAUGUUGCAGCCAUUACCUGUGUGAGGCCAAUAAACAACAGAUUUCAUCUCGGCUGAAAAUUUCCUUCCUCCCUGUUUGACAGGUUACUACUGGGAUAAAUGGGGAACGUGGCACAUAUGGCUUGUAUGGACUAUAUUUGUAGGGUCGUAGAGCUCCCAUCUAAGUGCACAGUGAGUAGCACAAAUCAUCCUCUAAUUAUAACUUUUGAGGCUUACAUACAUCAUUGGGGGGCAAUUUCAAGGUGAUGGCUCUUCAGUUUACCGAAAAUGGCUCUGGGGAACUGUCACCAUCAUCAACCAUCCACCUAACAUAAUUUUCUUCUUUCAUUUUAAUCUUGUCUUCUGUUUUUUUUUUUUUUUUUUCCCCUUGAGAAACAUUGUACUGUCCCACAGAUAAGUAAAAGCCUGGCAACGCUACAAAUAUGCCCCAAGUCACUAUUGUGUGACCAGCCUCUUUCUUUUAAACUUCAGCAUAAGCCUGCUUCAGUGCCAUUAAAAUAACUUGUCAUGACAGUGUGGCCUGGGAGCACUGCAAUCAAUUUCUAUUACAUCAAGGCCCAACUGGGCAUUGCUACUGAACUAAGCGCUGGUAAGCAAUCUCCCUGGCCGAGGGUGGUUUGUGUGAUGGUGGCGUAUCUUUAUGUGUGAGUGAGCAGUAUAAGGAGUGUGUGUUGGCUUGUAAAUGAGCAAGAACUGCAAGAGGUUUAACUUUUCUCUGCACAAGUGUGCAGUCUUACCAGCACAGGGAAUGAAACUAAAAACAAUGCUUUUAAAUUCUGCGUCGAUAGGGAUUAAAGUGCUGGGAAAAGAAUUUGCCCCCCAUAUAGAUUCCUACUGUUUUGCUUUUGUGUCACAUUUAAAGUCGUCAGAUCAUCAAAGUAAAUGUAAAAAAAACAACAACACAGUUUUCAAAGGAUGUAAUUUAUUAAGUGAAGGAAAAGACCAUCCAGACCAAUCGCAUGUGGGGAAAAAUAGAUUACCCUCACUAUUAAAUUGUAAGUUCAUUUUGAAUGAAUAACGUUUUCCUUUAUCCGCUGCUACAUGUCUGUCCAACUACUGCCUGACCUGUCAAAAU